rnacentral:rRNA from 1 species
AUACAGAGGUCCCGAGCGUUGUUCGGAUUCACUGGGCGUAAAGGGUGCGUAGGUGGUGAGGUAAGUCGGAUGUGAAAGCUCGGAGCUCAACUCCGAAAUGGCAUUGGAAACUACCUUGCUAGAGGGUUGGAAGGGGGACUGGAAUUCUCGGUGUAGCAGUGAAAUGCGUAGAUAUCGAGAGGAACACCAGUGGCGAAGGCGAGUCCCUGGACAACCCCUGACACUGAGGCACGAAAGCUAGGGGAGC